UACGGAAGGGGCAAGCGUUGUUCGGAAUCAUUGGGCGUAAAGGGCGCGUAGGUGGUUCUGUAUGUCUACCGUGAAAGCAUACAGCUCAACUGUAUUUUGUCGGUAGAAACUGCAGGACUUGAGGCUGGGAGGGGCUGGUGGAAUUCCCUGUGUAGCGGUGAAAUGCGUAGAGAUGGGGGAGAACACUCGUGGCGAAGGCGGCCAGCUAGACCAGUUCUGACACUGAGGCGCGACAGCGUGGGGGGCAAACAGG
rnacentral:rRNA from 1 species